CCAACGGCCCUCUUUAGGGCCACAAAUCUCAAUAAUCCAACGUUC
rfam:Caenorhabditis remanei strain PB4641 contig1692.1, whole genome shotgun sequence.